AGGGUUUCUGACUACAGAUCCCUCAUGAAGAAAGGUUUCUGACUACAGAUCCCUCAUGAUCUGAGACCUGCAUGCUGACGAGCAAGAAGGUUUCUGACAUGAGAAGCCUCAAGACCUGCCUCUCCCUCCUGGACUUGCUCUGCACUCUACCUGCUUGCUGCCUAAGGCUGGCCACUCUGCUGCUGCUCUCUCCCCAAGAAGGUGUCUGCAAUCAGAUUCCUCACCACGAAAGGGGCCUGCAUGCUGAUGGACUCUCCAGGGCCUGCUACUGGAGACCUGCUGCAUCCUCCCGGAUCUACUUGGUACCUGCACCUUCCUGCUGCUCAAGACCAGCCAUGCUGCUGCUGCUCUCCCCCUGCGCAUUUGCCCCAGACCAUCAGAACAUUGUGCAACGGGACUGCUGCUGGAUCCUGGUGAGGCAAGCAGCGCAGAGGGACCAGCACUGCACAUCUGCCCUCUGAGAAGGCUCUGCCCACAUUUCAUAAGCAAGCUGGAUGAAGACUUGCCCACAGUGUGGUUGUCACAGCCUCCCGAGGUCUUCUGCUUCUGUUCUUCCAGCAGAAGAGGAAUCAAUCCCCACACUCCAGACUUGGGAGAUUAAGUCUUCAGGAUAGACCACUGUAUUGUAUGAUUGAAAAUAUCAUCUUUCCAGCUGUGUCACUCAUCACAGUAAAGUACUGCUCCUUUGAGUUCCAAAAAGCCCUCUGUGAUCCUCCCUCAGCACACUCUGUGCUCCGGUGCUCUGCAACCACCAGAUAGUAUUGAUGUCCCCUAAUGAAAACAAGCCCUUCCUUUUCCUGGCUGUGAGGCAGACUCUGUGACUCAGCAGAAGCUACUGCAUGAAUAAACAUGAUGGGCCAGAUUCUCCUUGACACAAGCAGCCCUUUCACACCCUUCUGACAAUGCCAAAGAGCAUUAAUGAGAUUGCAAGUGUGCGUUAUGCCCACGUUAAGUUCUCACUGCAAUGCCAUAAAUGUGUGAGGAAGCCUCAGAAUAAAUGAAAUCAGACCCAGUAAGAACAGAAAUGCUACAAUGGGAUUUCUGUGGGAACUUUCCCAAAAGUCAUCUCCCACUGAAACUGUACUCUAGGCUGGUGCUCAUUCUGCUGGUCACAUGUGGCUCCCAGAUCUCUUCAGUUCAUCAGCCUCAGAACAUAUGUGAUGGCGUCUCUGUGCAGUGGAAAAAAAAGAAAUGAAAAGGUGGCUCUGCUUCCAACUCCACAAAGGAUAUGAGCAGGCUGUGUAUGCUUCUGCAAUCCUUGUCAGUCAGUAAAAUUAGAUCCUUACAGCCCUCUCACUUGAAGACAUGUAACUAGCUAGACAUCAGGCAGUACAGGUCUGCAUUUGAGGCAUGAAUGCAGCAGCUGAAUGGUAGGAAUGCUGGAUUGGUUUUGGCAUUGCCAGAACCUUUCUCGUGGUCUGUAAUCUCAAAGGGCAAUUAACAGACUGUGUGGACACAUAACUAAUAAUUUCAGAAGAGCUUGUCCUAAUAUAUAACUAUAUUUUUCCUUUCUAUUAUGACUUUUGUAUGAACUCUAAAUGAAACACAGGAAUAAAAUAUCUGCAUUCGUAA